AAACUACGUUAAACGGUGUGAAUUGCAGAACACGCAGAACACUGGAACUUUGAACGCACAUGGCAGGUUAGUGUUAUAACUAACCUUUGUCUGUGUGAGGGUUGUAAUAAGAGAAUCAAGGCUAGUUUUUGAAGAGCGGGGAGGUUGCCUGUUGAAUGUGUGACAUGCCCGCUGCUCGCAAUAAAACACACUUGUGUUGCGCCUCUGGCCAGCGUCGGAGGAUAACGGCAACAAGACGAGUGUCCUUUCUUUCUCACAACCUCAUAUCAGGCAAGAUUACCCGCUUAAUUUAA
rnacentral:misc_RNA from 1 species